UAUAACUCUGUAUACUGAAACAAAAUAGUGUGUGGAAUGAAUAGAAACUUCUUCUUCUCUCUCAAAUUUUCUUUUCUCUCUCUAAGGAGUACACACCCACUCAAAGAGUGCUUUCUUUUAUAAAUAUGUUCAGCAGGUUGUAUCACGGGUGCUUUCAUCAUGAACCCUUUUGAGCUUAUGAAUGCCCUUCAAUCCAAAAUGGACGCCCAAUGGGCUGAGUUACGUGAUAUUCUUAAAUCAUCACUCGCCUCUCAUUCUGACACCAUUCAUUCCACUCUCCAUAGUCAUUUAUUGGAGGUUGAUUCCAAGGUUGCUAACCUCCAAUCCAAGUAUCAACAUCCACCGCACGAGUCUUCGAGAACGGCAUUGCAUUCGCUUAAACUCAGUGAUCCUCAUUCCAAUGGUUCUAAUCUAAUCAAUUGGUUGUUUCAAAUCACUGCGUUUUUUUAUUUACACGAGACAUCGGAAAACGCAUGUCUUCAGAUCGUUUCAUUUCAUAUGGAAGGUCGUGACGCCUCAUGGUUCCAGUGGGCGAUGCGCAACCACUUUCUUCGGUCAUGGAUCGUCUUCAUGGAAGUUGUUUGCCACCGCUCCGAUCCAACUCGAUCCGAAGACGUCGAAGGUUAUUAGUCUAAACUUUCUAAAAUCGAUUCAGUAGCGGAUUUCCAGAAUGAAUUUGAAGAUAUCAUGAACAAAGUUACAGCUUUAACAGUCUGCACGGAAACGAUCAUAACUGGAGUUCCAGGAGUCCGAUUGAGGUGUUCUAAUAAUCUACGGAAAGCUAAGAGAAAGAGCUACAAUUCUUAUGUUGGAGUCGAAGUCAGAAUCGGACUGUAGAAGGGCCAGAAAAUUCGUUGAAGUUGCAGCACUAGUUUUAGUUAAGUUUCGGGUCAAUUAGUUUUGGGCUUGGGUCGUAUGUUUGACCCAGUUGGAUUGUAAAACGGGUUGUACUUUUCCCCCUUAGGGAAGCAGCCGCGGUACUGUAGCAUGGAUAAUCACUAUUCACGAUUUUGAAGCUUGGUACAAUUUCUAUGGAGCACUAACCAAAUCCUGUCGAAUUGCUGUAUUCAGGUUCCGACCUUGAGGUUAUUUUAAUUUUAAUCUAGUAUUUAUUCCUUUCAAUUUUGUUCUAUGUUCUUGAAUGCUUAAUUCGAAUUUCAUAGAGUAUUUUGAUUCAAUUCAAGUGAUUGUAUGAUCCUAACAAAUAAUCACGUUACCGUUUGCUUAAUUCGUUACCGUGUAUGAUUUAUCACGUUUGCUUAAUUCGUGAAGCUUAUCUCCGUUUGCUUAAUUCGGAUAUUAGAAUUAUACAUCGUACAAUACUCUUCGCGCUUGUCACUGAGUUUGUAGUCGAAUAGGAAUAGAUUAUCCGCUUAGGAGAUUAAUAUUGCUUAAUCGAUGAUAGAUAGGAACCGAAUCAGUAAUUAGACUUUUCAGCUUAUUUGAUAAUCACUUUUUCAUAAUCAUUUUUUUUGUUUAAUCGAAACUCAAAC